rnacentral:rRNA from 1 species
AUGGCUCCGACGUCGAAGAUGGCGCUCGGCAUAAAGCGGGCGUCGAGAUCGCACACCUACCACCGCCGCGGGCUUUGGGCCAUCAAGGCCAAGCACGGCGGCGCCUUGCCCAAGGCCGAGAAGCCGGCCGCCGUCGCCGAGCCCAAGUUCUAUCCCGCUGAUGAUGUCAAGCCACGCACCGUGAGCACACGCAAGCCCCAUCCCACCAAGCUCAGAUCGACCAUCACACCGGGCACGGUGCUGAUCCUGCUCGCGGGGAGGUACAUGGGAAAGCGCGUGGUGUUCCUCAAGCAGCUCCAGUCCGGCCUUCUCCUCAUCACUGGACCUUUCAAGAUCAAUGGCGUGCCAAUCCGCAGAGUGAACCAGGCUUACGUCAUUGCCACAUCCACAAAGGUCGACAUCUCUAAGGUUAAUGUGCAGAAGUUUGAUGACAAGUACUUCGCUAGGGAGAAGAAGACUAGGGCAAAGAAGACUGAGGGCGAGCUAUUUGAGUCGGAUAAGGAGGUACAUUCAUGCAUCAUUAUCCUUUUAGAUGCCCUUUACCCGUCUUGUUCCAAUACCUUAUUUUAUAUCUUCUCUGUUACCCUGCAGGCAACCAAGAAUUUGCCAGACUUCAAGAAGGAUGACCAGAAGGUCAUUGACGCUGAGUUGAUCAAGGCUAUCGAUGCUGUCCCAGACCUUAAAAAUUAUCUUGGUGCCCGGUUCUCCCUCAGGGAUGGCGACAAGCCGCAUGAGAUGACCUUCUAA